rnacentral:rRNA from 1 species
UAGGGAAUUUUCCACAAUGGGCGAAAGCCUGAUGGAGCAACGCCGCGUGCAGGAUGAAGGCCCUAGGGUUGUAAACUGCUUUUAUCUGUGACGAAUAUGACGGUAGCAGAUGAAUAAGGAUCGGCUAACUCCGUGCCAGCAGCCGCGGUCAUACGGAGGAUCCAAGCGUUAUCCGGAAUUACUGGGCGUAAAGAGUUGCGUAGGUGGCAAAGUAAGUCGGUAGUGAAAGCGUGGGGCUCAACCCUAUACACAUUAUCGAAACUGCUUAGCUAGAGGAUGAGAGAGGUUAUUGGAAUUCCCAGUGUAGGAGUGAAAUCCGUAGAUAUUGGGAGGAACACCGAUGGCGUAGGCAGAUAACUGGCUCAUUCCUGACACUAAGGCACGAAAGCGUGGGGAGCAAACGGGAUUAGAUACCCGCGUAGUCC